rnacentral:siRNA from 1 species
CUCAACUCAACCCAUAAACCCUA